GAUGCUGUUGCUUUUUUUCAUUUGAGAAAAAUGCAACUGUCACAAGCAAGUUUCAGGCAAGUUUGUAACAAAUGGCUACAUUUUAGAAUUAAAUUUUAAACCACCAAAGAAUCAAAGGAAAACUAUGCCAAGAGCGAAGCGGAAGCGGUUCUCUUUCUGUGGAUACAAGUGUACAAAAGUCAUUAGGACAAAUAGUUAUUGGACUUCAAAUGUCUGACAGCCCGCCUGUUAACUUGACUACAUUAAUCAUGCCUCAGGCAUGGACUAUAUUUCAACAGAUUCUCUCUUUCCUUGGACAAGUUUUAAGAUUGCAGAAGUGUUAUUGAAUUUCAAGAAGGGCUCAAAACCUAAAUCAGUGCUAUUUUUAGCAUGCAGAACUAAUCCUGCUACUGCCAAUAUGUAAGACAUGUUAUUCAUACAUCGUUCACAGGAAGAAGACAAGCUCUGAGCAUGUCUCUAGGG
rnacentral:lncRNA from 1 species